rnacentral:lncRNA from 1 species
AACAGAAGCAUUCCGUACGUUGCUAGAGAUGGGUGGAAAACCUCCAAGAAGCUGUCCCCACGAAACAACCACGGAAUUGGUAAUAGAAGUUAGCAACAUAAUCUCACGGCAAAUGUAAAAAUAAGUACAACAUGAACAAUUGCAUUGUCCAAGUUGUAACAUCUAAAAUACUACUAACAUAAAGACACUAAAAUGAAGACACCAUUAUGCUAGAGCCAGAAGCGCUGGUGGACAGUAUGGAAAUGCUGGAGUCACUUGGAACAUCAAUUCCACUUCCACACACAUGUAGUUGAAAAUUUGAGUUUGAAGAAUUGUCAUUAAUAGUGUAAAAGAUUCAACGAUUAGCUCUUUCUUUCUGAUUCUUGAGAAUGGCCAUCAACCCUCCUAAGCCAGUUGAUAUAUGUGUAAACACUUGGCCUUUGAACC